rnacentral:rRNA from 1 species
UACAGAGGUCCCGAGCGUUGUUCGGAUUCACUGGGCGUAAAGGGUGCGUAGGCGGUCGGGUAAGUCUGAUGUGAAAUCUCGGAGCCCAACUCCGAAACGGCAUUGGAUACUAUUCGGCUCGAGGUUGGGAGGGGGGACUGGAAUUCUCGGUGUAGCAGUGAAAUGCGUAGAUAUCGAGAGGAACACCAGUGGCGAAGGCGAGUCCCUGGACCAAUCCUGACGCUGAGGCACGAAAGCCAGGGGAGCAAACGGG